rnacentral:lncRNA from 1 species
GUCUUUGCCUGCCAGGGAAGGGAGAUGAAACUGGAAUAAGCUACUGGUGACAUUAUGAUGGGGGUGUUUUAGGAGUGAUGUAUUGCAACCUCCACUUGGAGGUGGGAAGUCCUGUGUCUUAAGCCCAAAUGGAAAACACACUAGUGUUUAUGAGUUGCUGUAAGCCUCAAGCUUUCCAGCAGUAAUGAGCCUUAGUUGAGUUUAAGCUCCUGCUAAAGGGGAGGUGAGCCGAGGCAGGAAAAGAAUUGCCAGGAGAUGGCUCCCACGGAACUGUUACCCGGCCCAGGGUCAGGAUCAUGCAGCAGAUAAGAUAGGCAAGGAGUGUGUCACUUACUGCUGGUUUGAUUGGGUUCAGCCGUAUUCUUGGGUUAUGGUGUUCACAUCACAGCCUGCACAGGGAGACAUUUAUGCCUUUGAGUUGUGAUAGCCUGUUCACUUCUGUGUCCCUGAGCCAAACUGCAAGCUCCAUGAGACUGGGGGUGGUGUCUAUAGCUGGCAGCACUCGGUUAUAGGCUGAGUGAACGUGGGAGGCCAGGGCGCAGUCCAGGCACCCAGUGGAGUCAGCUGGCUUGGCUUUCUUCCAGGUGCUGCACAGCUGAGCCCAGCGGAGGUGGGGUGGAGGGUGGCAUUCCUAGGGCACUGCAUGGCACUGGGGGACAGUGGAAGAGCAAAACUAUUCCUCCCUCCUGCAGGUUGAACAAAGCUGCUCCAGCAUGUGCCUCCUCAAAUGAAGACAAUGAAUGACACUCUUGGCUCUCCUGUAGAGGAGGUAAAGCUAUGGUCGUGGCCUCAAGCGCCAGCAGUAAUGGGACCUCUGGGUUAGUGUGUAUAGUAGCUCAAACCUUCCAAGUUCAAAGAAAACAAAAGUCCUGCAUACAUUUCAGGCAAAAAAGAAAGUCCCCAGGUGUACAGGACCACGAGCCCAGAAAUGUCACCUUCAGAUCACAAGGAGUGGCUCAGGGGAAACAAACCUGACUAGCACCCAUGAGGACUUGGGUUCAAUCCCUGGCCUCACUCAGUGGGUUAAGGAUCCAGUGCUGUCAUGAGCUGCAGUGUAGGUCAUGGAUGUGGCUUGGAUCUGGUGUUGCUGUGGCUGUGGUGUAGGCUGGCAGCUGCAACUCUGAUUCAGCCCCUAGCCUGGGAACUUCCAUAUGUCAUGGGUGAGGCCCUAAAAAGACAAAAACAAACAGACCUGUCCAGUGGGUCAAUUGUCCCAUCCUCCCAAGGGGCAGAUAAUUUAUAAGAGGACAAGUGUUGGGUAAAUGGCCACUGUUCAAGGCAAUGGACUAAAUGGGGCUGUUGUAAGGUGAGUACGUGUCUAGCACCUGGAAUCUUUUUUUAAUGGUCACACCUGGGUCAUACGUAAGUUCUAGAGCCUGGGAUUGAAUCCAAGCUACAGCUGUGACCUGCAUUGGCAAUGCCAUAUCCUCUGACCUACUGUUCCGGGCCAGGGAUCAAACCUUCACCUCUGCAGAGACCUGAGCUGCUGCAGUUAGAUUCUUAACCCACUGUACCAGCACCACGGCAGGGACUCCUGGAGUCAUUUUUUUAAGCCUUAGGUUCAGCCAGGUAGACACCUGUGGUUAUGACUGGGAUUGGUGCUACUUGGUUGAAAAUGUUUAUGGCAUGUUUCCUAUGGACCAAAAACAGCAGCAUACCUCCCUAAGCAAAGAACCCUUCUGCUCAUAAAUCCUCUCCCUCCACCCACCAGGCCUGCCAGAUCCUUGUCCCAGAGCACAGGCCCUGUCACAGCCUCCAGGGUUCAGAGACACGGAGCAGUUCUAGACUGACUGACACGCGUUCCUCCACGUGCUUGUGCAUCUUCCCUGGUCCCUGGGGAUCCAAGCAAUCUCCCCAUAAUGUGAAGCUUUAGUGAAAUGGAAAUAUAGCUGUACUCCAAACCCCCAAGGCUCUUGGCUCCAUCCCAUGACUCAGUAGUGCCUGAACUUUGGCAAUUUGAAGUAAAACUUCAGAAACAUAUUAGGGGAGUUCCCUGGUGGCUCAGUGGGUUAAGGAUCCAGGGUCGUCAUUGUUGUGACUCUGGUUACAGCUGUGGCUUGGGUUUAACCCCUGGCCCAGGAACUGCCACAAGCCUCAGCCAAAAAAACCCCAAGAAAGAAACAACAGAAUGUAUUUGGCACUGUCAUCAGUUUGCCAACUUUCUCCUUUGCAAGACCAGACACUGAAAACUUAGACGUUGUCUCCAUUAUUCACUUCUCUUCUGACCAGCAAUAACCCCACUAAGCAAGGCUGGGGGCACACUGCCCUGCUUACAGCAUGUGGUCCUCAAACUAAAGCAUGUGUAAGAAGCAUCUGGAAAGUUAAGACCAGUGUCUGGGUCCAGCCCUCCAUCCCGAUAGUGCUGGUCUUGGGUGGAGGUUGGGGUUCUGCUUUUCUUUCUUCAUUUUUUUUUCGGGGGGGGGGUCUUUUUAGGGCCGCACCCAUGACAUGGGUAAGUUCCCAGGCUAGAGGUCGAAUCAGAGCUGUAGCCACCAGCCUACGCCACAGACACACUGCAACACAUAUCCAAGCUGCAUCCGUGACCUACACCACAGCUUGUGGCAAAACCAGAUCCUUAACCCACUGAAUGAGGCUAGGGAUUGAACUGCAUCCUCAUAGAUACUAUUUGAGUUCUUAACUUGCUGAGCUACAGUGAGAACUCCAGGGUUCUGCUUUUCUAAUGGGCUCCCAGGUGGUCUUCAGCAGAGACCAGUCUUUGAGUAGCACUGGCUUCAAGGUUCUCUGAACUUCUCCUACUUUUCAAGGUGCAACCCCGAUGCCCCUUUCAUGAAGCCUCCUUAAGCCAUCCUUAGUAGAGAAUAAUUUCUCACCUAGAAAAAUUCUUGGAGUCCCUGUCAUGGCUCAGUGUGGUAAUGAACCUGACUAGAAUCCAUGAGGAUGUGGGUUCCAUCCCUGGCCUCGCUCAGUGGAUUAAGGAUCCAGGGCUGCCGUGAGCUAUGUCGUAGGCCAAGAGCUACAGCUCUGAUUAGACCCCUUGCCUGGGAACUUCCAUAUGCCUCCGGUACACCCAAAAAAGACAAAAAAGUACAAAAAUGGAGUUCCCAGAGUUCCCUCAUGGCUCAGUGUGAAACCAAGCAGGCCCCAUGGGGCUCCUGGGCAUAAGCCUGCGUCCCUCAGUUCUUAUUUUUAAGGAAUAAGCUUCAGCCUCCAGGACCUUCCCUGAGUUCCAAAGGGCAGGCUCACCCAGUUGCUAAUGAAGGAAGGGAGGGGAUGCAGAGACUAGGGAGGAACAGUCUAGAAACAAUGGUACAGCCUUGGGGCAGGGUCCUGGCUCCUCCUCAGUGAAUAUACAGUAUCUUUGAGAUCUUCUGCAGAAUGAAAUGUCCCAACAAAUGAAAACCAGAGAGGAGGACCACCAGAACCAGUCCUGGGGCCACUAAACACCGGGCUUUGAAGAAUGAAAGCUUACAUCUAAACUAUUUCAUUUAGAAUGGAUAAGCAACAGGUCCUGCUGUACAGCACAGGCAACUGUAUCUAAUCACUUGUGCUAGAACAUGAUAGAAGAUAAUAUGGAUGCUAGUCGGGUUCGUUAACCACUGAGCCACAUGGGAACUGAUAGAAGAUAAUACAAGAAAAAGAAUGUAUAGAUAUGUAUGCCCGGGUCACUUUGCUGUACAGCAAAAAUUGAAAGAACAUUGUAGGAGUUCCCGUUGUGGUGCAGUGGUUAACAAAUCCGACUAGGAACCAUGAGGUUUCGGGUUCAAUCCCUGGCCUUGCUCAGUGGGUUAAGGAUCUGGCAUUUCUGUGGCUGUGGCAUAGGCCGGCGGCUCCAGCUCCAAUUCGACCCCUAGCCUGGGAACCUCCAUAUGCCGUGAGUGUGGCCCUAAAAAGCAAAAAGACAAAAGAAAGAAAGAACAUUGUAAAUCAACUAUAAUAAAAAAAAUUUUAAAAACUUGAAUCUACCCUGACCUUCUCUGUGGCCCUAUUUUCCACCUCCUGUUCUCUCCCAAAGGAAGGCACCCAUGUGGCCUCCUUUGCUUGGCAAAGCAAUAAAGUAGUUUUUUUUUUCUCCAC